rnacentral:rRNA from 1 species
CCUACGGGAGGCAGCAGUGAGGAAUAUUGGUCAAUGGGGGCGAGCCUGAACCAGCAAAGUAGCGUGAAGGAUGACUGCCCUACGGGUUGUAAACUUCUUUUAUAAAGGAAUAAAGUGAGGCACGUGUGCCUUUUUGAAUGUACUUCAUGAAUAAGGAUCGGCUAACUCCGUGCCAGCAGCCGCGGUAAUACGGAGGGUGCGAGCGUUAAUCGGAAUUACUGGGCGUAUAGUGCUCGUAGGCGGUAUGUCAAGUCAAGGGGGAAAUGCCCGAGCUCAAAGUGGGAAGUGCCUUUGAAACUGGCGAACUGGAGUGUGUGAGAGGAUAGUGGAAUUACAGGUGUAGCAGUGAAAUCCGUAGAUAUCUGGAAGAACAUCAGUGGCGAAGGCGACUAUCUGGCACUUUACUGACGCUGAGGAGCGAAAGCGUGGGUAGCAAACAGGAUUAGAUACCCUGGUAGUC